rnacentral:rRNA from 1 species
AGAGUUUGAUCCUGGCUCAGGAUGAACGCUGGCGGCAUGCCUAAUACAUGCAAGUCGAACGAGAGGAAGGAAAGCUUGCUUUUCUGAAUCUAGUGGCGAACGGGUGAGUAACACGUAGGUAACCUGCCCAUGUGCCCGGGAUAACUUCUGGAAACGGAUGCUAAAACCGGAUAGGUAGCAGACAAGCAUUUGACUGCUAUUAAAGUGGCCUUGGCCAUGAACAUGGAUGGACCUGCGGUGCAUUAGCUGGUUGGUGAGGUAACGGCCCACCAAGGCGACGAUGCAUAGCCGGCCUGAGAGGGCGGACGGCCACAUUGGGACUGAGACACGGCCCAAACUCCUACGGGAGGCAGCAGUAGGGAAUUUUCGUCAAUGGGGGGAACCCUGAACGAGCAAUGCCGCGUGAGUGAGGAAGGUCUUCGGAUCGUAAAGCUCUGUUGUAAGAGAAAAACGGCACUCAUAGGGAAUGAUGAGUGAGUGAUGGUAUCUUACCAGAAAGUCACGGCUAACUACGUGCCAGCAGCCGCGGUAAUACGUAGGUGGCGAGCGUUAUCCGGAAUGAUUGGGCGUAAAGGGUGCGUAGGUGGCAGAUCAAGUCUGGAGUAAAAGGUAUGGGCUCAACCCGUACUGGCUCUGGAAACUGAUCAGCUAGAGAACAGAAGAGGACGGCGGAACUCCAUGUGUAGCGGUAAAAUGCGUAGAUAUAUGGAAGAACACCGGUGGCGAAGGCGGCCGUCUGGUCUGGAUUCUGACACUGAAGCACGAAAGCGUGGGGAGCAAAUAGGAUUAGAUACCCUAGUAGUCCACGCCGUAAACGAUGAGAACUAGGUGUUGGGGGAAUAACUCAGUGCCGCAGUUAACGCAGUAAGUUCUCCGCCUGGGGAGUAUGCACGCAAGUGUGAAACUCAAAGGAAUUGACGGGGGCCCGCACAAGCGGUGGAGUAUGUGGUUUAAUUCGAAGCAACGCGAAGAACCUUACCAGGCCUUGACAUCCCUUGCAGAGGUAUAGAGAUAUAUCCGAGGUUAUCAAGGAGACAGGUGGUGCAUGGUUGUCGUCAGCUCGUGUCGUGAGAUGUUGGGUUAAGUCCCGCAACGAGCGCAACCC